rnacentral:rRNA from 1 species
UACGUAGGCAGCGAGCGUUGUUCGGAAUUACUGGGCGUAAAGAGUGUGUAGGCGGUGCUCUAAGUUCGGUGUGAAAUCUCCUGGCUCAACUGGGAGGGUGCGCCGGAAACUGGAGUGCUUGAGCGUGGGAGAGGAAAGCGGAAUUCCUGGUGUAGCGGUGAAAUGCGUAGAUAUCAGGAGGAACACCUGUGGUGUAGACGGCUUUCUGGACCAUAGCUGACGCUGAGACACGAAAGCGUGGGGAUCAAACAGG